UACGUAGGGGGCGAGCGUUGUCCGGAUUUAUUGGGCGUAAAGAGCUCGUAGGCGGCUUAGCAAGUCGGGUGUGAAAACUCCAGGCUCAACCUGGAGACGCCACUCGAGACUGCUAUGGCUAGAGUCCGGUAGGGGACCACGGAAUUCCUGGUGUAGCGGUGAAAUGCGCAGAUAUCAGGAAGAACACCCGUGGCGAAGGCGGUUCUCUGGGACGGUACUGACGCUGAGACGCGAAAGCGUGGGAGCGAACAGG
rnacentral:rRNA from 1 species